rnacentral:rRNA from 1 species
GGCGUAGGCGGCCUUUCAAGUCAGAUGUGAAAUCUCCUGGCUUAACUGGGAGGGUGCAUCUGAUACUGAUGGGCUAGAGUGCAGCAGAGGAAGACGGAAUUCCCGGUGUAGUGGUGAAAUGCGUAGAUAUCGGGAAGAACACCAGUGGCGAAGGCGGUCUUCUGGGCUGUAACUGACGUUAAGGCCCGAAGGCGUGGGAGCAAACA